AUGAACGCUGGCGGCGUGCCUAAUACAUUCAAGUCGAGCGAACGGACGAGAAGCUUGCUUCUCUGAUGUUAGCGGCGGACGGGUGAUUAACACGUGGAUAACCUACCUAUAAGACUGGGAUAACUUCGGGAAACCGGAGCUAAUACCGGAUAAUAUUUUGAACCGCAUGGUUCAAAAGUAAAAGACGGUCUUGCUGUCACUUAUAGAUGGAUCCGCGCUGCAUUAGCUAGUUGGUAAGGUAACGGCUUACCAAGGCAACGAUGCAUAGCCGACCUGAGAGGGUGAUCGGCCACACUGGAACGGAGACACGGUCCAGACUACUACGGGAGGCAGCAGUAGGGAAUCUUCCGCAAUGGGCGAAAGCCUGACGGAGCAACGCCGCGUGAGUGAUGAAGGUCUUCGGAUCGUAAAACUCUGUUAUUAGGGAAGAACAUAUGUGUAAGUAACUGUGCACAUCUUGACGGUAACUAAUCAGAAAGCAACGGCUAACUACGUG
rnacentral:rRNA from 1 species